UUUCGGCGGGGACGAUGGUGACGUACCCGCAGAAGAANCCCCGGNUAAUUNGUGCCAGCANCCGCGGUAAUACGAAGGGGGCUAGCGUUGUUNGGAAUUACUGGGCGUAAAGGGCGCGUAGGCGGCCCGCACANUCAGGCGUGAAANUCNUGGGNUCAACCCAGGGACUGCGCUUGANACAUGCGGGCUAGAGGGCGGAAGAGGUNUCGCGGAAUUCCCAGUGUAGAGGUGAAAUUCGUAGAUAUUGGGAAGAACACCGGUGGCGAAGGCGGCGAGCUGNCCCGUUACUGACGCUGAGGCGCGACAGCGUGGGGAGCAAACAGGAUUAGAUACCCUGGUAGUCCACNCCCGUAAACGAUGUGCGCUGGAUGUCGGGCGGCAUAGCCGCUCGGUGUCGAAGCCAACGNGAUAAGCGCACCGC
rnacentral:rRNA from 1 species